rnacentral:SRP_RNA from 1 species
GAGUGGACUAGGUCGGGCAGUUAGGCCCUGCUCCCAACCCGCGAUAUGGUCUUUAGCGGGGACCGAAUCCUGAGGGCGUCCGGUCAGACCCGGUCGGGCCUCGGGAGUCGACGUAGAAGCCUCGUCCGUCGGGGACGGCGGUCGACGGGGUCCAUCCGCAGGGAUGGCACUCCGUCGUUGGUCGGCGGUAAUGAGUCAGGCACGGAAGUGAGCAGCUCACCGUCGGACACCCGUCGCUCGAUGGGUCGCGGGGUGGAGGAGACGACCGAGAUUCCCCGUCCGGGAACGCCGGGCAAUCCCAGGCGUCCACCA